AGCUUUAUAGUUUAUUUAAAAUAUUAAAUUGCAAAUUUAAAGAUAAAUUAUUGUUUUAAAGCUU
rnacentral:tRNA from 1 species